rnacentral:rRNA from 1 species
AGUGAACGCUGGCGGUAGGCCUAACACAUGCAAGUCGAACGGCAGCACAGGAGAGCUUGCUCUCUGGGUGGCGAGUGGCGGACGGGUGAGGAAUACAUCGGAAUCUACUCUGUCGUGGGGGAUAACGUAGGGAAACUUACGCUAAUACCGCAUACGACCUACGAGUGAAAGCAGGGGACCUUCGGGCCUUGCGCGAUUGAAUGAGCCGGUGUCGGAUUAGCUAGUUGGCGGGGUAAAGGCCCACCAAGGCGACGAUCCGUAGCUGGUCUGAGAGGAUGAUCAGCCACACUGGAACUGAGACACGGUCCAGACUCCUACGGGAGGCAGCAGUGGGGAAUAUUGGACAAUGGGCGCAAGCCUGAUCCAGCCAUACUGCGUGGGUGAAAAAGGCCUUCGGGUUGUAAAGCCCUUUUGUUGGGAAAGAAAUCCAGCUGGCUAAUACCCGGUUGGGAUGACGGUACCCAAAGAAUAAGCACCGGCUAACUUCGUGCCAGCAGCCGCCGUAA